AAAUGGCUCCCCUUUGUCUGCAAGAGUUCAUUAAAAAAAAAUUGGGAGGAACAGGAGACCCCACAGGCUACCUGCUGCUGCCGCGGCUUGUCAGAGGGACAAGCCCAGACUCGACAGAACGCUCAGAUGAGGGGGAAGGAUCCAGUGCCCUAUUUUUAGUGUCAGAUUUCAGCAAAACAAUUCACUUUCAUUUUAUCACACACACACACACACACACACACACACACACACACACACACUGCUGGGUUU
rnacentral:lncRNA from 1 species